AUAUGGAACCUGGGGAAACAGAGGGCCCGCUGUCCCUACAGCAGAGAGGAUACAGCAACACAAGCCUUUACCCCUAAGAAGGAAGAUGUCGCUUGAUCACUGUGAGAUGCUAUGUGUUCCUUGAGAUUGGUUUGUGGCCUCAGGUCACAGGGCAAAAGGAUGAGAGGAACCUGGAGGUUUAUUAGAGACAGGAGCGUAGGGGACCACAGUGGCCACUGUGAGUAUUAACUGCAGCACGGCUUUCAGGGAGGAAAUGGAUGCCCUCCUUGCCCACAUUCAGAGAGCAGCAUUGCCUUCGGAGCUUACUAACUCCUGUCAAUGCCAGCCAAAUGUCUGGUAGCACUGUUGCCGCUGGAAAGGGACCCAGUGAACACUCUCCUUUUCUGAGUAAUUUUAUGACAAAGAUGAACAAUAGGUCAGAUGGAAACCGAGAUGCCGACUGUUAGAAUCUUGGAUGUGCAGUGAAAGUGGGCAUCUUUACUUAUACAAAAUACUUGGACUGAGACUGACCCACCUGGCCUCAGGCAGUGCUGCACUUCUGCAGGUUGCUCUCUGUGGGGCCUGCCCUGGAAACUAGCACAGAGGAGCACUUCACCCUGCAGAUGGCUGGCUUCCGAGAUGAAGAGGAUGAUAAGAAGAUGCUGAGGUGUGUGUGUCCAGUUCCUCUCCCAGAUUCGUCAACUCAGCAAAAAACACAUAUGUAUAUGUGUAUGUCUGCUUACGGACUCCCUGGAUUUUCUACUUGGAAGUAGUACCGAGGAAGAUCUAACACAGCAUGAAACGGUCAAGAAAUUGCCAUUGUUGUGAAAACUUCAACUCAAUAAUUCAGAGAUACAGAAAAUUGGCACAAGAAUGUUAUUUCUUCAUUUGGACAAAAAUCUCUGAACUUUCUGAGGUUCACCCAUCAUUGUUGUAAAACUCUAAAGAUCAAGUUUACUUUGGAAGUUCUGCUACAACCUCAAGUAUCAUGUUAGCCAUAGCAUGGCAGUGGGGAAAACGGAAAAGAGCAGCCCACUAUUUCCAAGAACCUCUAUUAUUUUAAAGCUCACAGUGUUUGUUUUACUAAUUCGGAGAGAAGAAAAGAUCACAGAUUAUUUCUCAGGACAAAGCCUGCUUGCAGAGGAGAAAUACCACGGCAGCUUGAUGUGCAACUGGGACUUAACCUCACACAAGACCCAAGAGUCCCCACGGAGGGCAUUCUCCAUGUGUUUCAACUUGGUGCAUCAUUCACCAAGCAUGUUCCCUCCGGAAAAGCAGGAGACCGCCCAAGUUGGAAGAAAAGGGCAUCUUUCAAACAAGAAGAUGGCUUUGGCUGCCCUUGUGGACCUGUGCUUCUCUGUCUGGGCACUGCCUGUUUCUGGAAGGUGUUUCCUCUCAGCCCGGAGUUAUAGGUACAAGAGCACGCAAGAGAGCAGACAGAGCAGGCUGUGA
rnacentral:lncRNA from 1 species